rnacentral:lncRNA from 1 species
AUUGUGGGAGAGAGCUUCCUUUUAGCUGCCUAAGGGUGCCAGUCUCUCCUGGUUGCCUUCGGUCAAGAUGCAGAACUCUCAGCUCCUUCUCCAGCACCGCAUCUGCCGAGACACAGCCAUGCUCCCUACUGUGAUAAUAAUAGACUGAACCUCUGAACCUCUGCUGCCGGUGUGAUGAGCUGAGAACUUUAAGAGAAUCUGGCGGCCGCCUGGGCUGCGGCCCUGAGAGUCAGGUGGCUGCAAAGGACAACCCGCGGUGUGGUGCCACUGGAGGCACCGAGAGCCUUCCACAUGACCAAGGCCAUGUUGCCAGGGACAUAUCCUAGGACCCCAGAAGAACGGGCCGCAGCCACCAAGAAGUGUAAUAUGCGUGUGGAAGACUCCGAGCCAUUCCCAGAUGAUGGCAUCGGGUAAUGGUGACUACCCGAUGCUUCCCCAACAGAUCGCAGCAUGAGAGGGAUCCGUGGUAUGAUGGGACCACCCAGACCUCAGGCUGACCUAGGGUGAACCGAUACACUGGGACCUAGACAUUUACGUCAGGAUCAGGAGUCGUGUGGACACGUCGCCUACACCUGCUUCCUGAGAUGAUGUCAUGUGUAAACACUGCUUCGGCUUCGUGGCUUUCAUGGUUUUCAUGUUCUGGGUAAGGGACAUGUUCCCUUCUUAAAGCAGUACCCUUACAAUAAUCCGCCCGUGGAGUGAGGUGGUGAUCCUACGAAAGAGCCCGAGCCCGUGGUUCACUAUGAUAUCUGAGGAGGCUUGAUGGGCUUUUGUGCCCUCUAAAUAGGACUCCCUCGAGACAAGGUUUCUCUGUGUAGCCCUGGCUGUCCUUGAACUCACUCUGUAGACCAGGCUGGCCUCGAACUCAGAAAUCCACCUGCCUCUGCCUCCCAAGUGCUGGAAUUAAAGGAGUGCGCCACCACCGCCCGGCGAGAGGUUUAACCUCAAUGAAAUCCCUAAUAAAGCUCAGU